UCCGAUACUUGUUCUUCCACAAGAGGGGACAGAAAGUAGGUAAACCGAGAACAGAUUGCAAGGUGGACAGAGGACACGCACUAUGAACUGUUCACACGCAGGUAAAUCUGUUCUGACGAUUCGCGAACUCAGCUAUCAAGGUGACCAUCUACACUUACAACAAGACAACAGGUGGGCUGUAUGGUGAGCAGUCGAACUGUAACAGUAAUCUUACAGUCGACACUCUGGUUAUACUCCUCUGGCUGACUGCACCAAAAAUUAUCUCUUCCGUCUCUCUCUCCCCCACUAGCUCUCCCCCCAAAGAUAUUCUCCCGCUGUGUGUGUGCGCGAGCGCUGAUUGUGUGUGUGUGUGCUCGUCUGUACGGAAGUGCCUGUGUGUACAUGUUCUCUAUCGUGCUGGUAUCGGCACAUUCAAGCGAAAAUAAUAGCUGGAUAUUUUUGUAUGGCAGCCUAAAGCCAUGUCGCUUACAGUUAGCAAGAAGUUAAUAACAUUAUUCACGGCUCUGCGCACACAAGCAGCCAGUCAUGUUGAGCUGUUUGUAGGCCAACGGUGGGGAAGCUAAUCAGUAAAGGUUAUAGAUGAGGUCACAGUGCUAGUCAAUAGACGGUAUUGUCUCCAGACACACCCCCUGUCUAACAAACAGUUCCUCGCAGACUAAAGAGACUUGCACUCACUUGUCCCCUAGGGGAGGUACCCUCACACACCAAGCGUGACAUUCUGGUUGUUGUUCACACCACGCUGUCCUGAGUUUGUGGAGCCUGGAGAGGAAAUUAUUUCAGGCGUAUUCACACCAAAGGCUUCCUACAUCGUCUGGUCUACAAGUAACAUCGUGACAGUCACAAACUCAUCAUCAGUCGCAUCCUCAUCCACCUCAAUGCUAACAACAACUGACAGUGUGAGGACACCAUGGAUGUGCGUGUGACAAACAGCUAAAAAUAGAAGAAAGGGUGACAAACGGAUGAGGAACAUGUGCGAGUGGUAAGGGGCAGAGAAGUUUCCAAACUGAAGCCGCUGAAGUUUCUCAUCUCACUGUCUGUUCACGGUUCCAUCGUUUCAUCUCUACACCUCUUAUUCUGGUGGAACAGAAGGCGGUUAAUGAAGCCACAUCAAUUAUUCGGCCCGCACCCACCUGCUUGUCUAGUGCGCCCUGACUUUCUAGACCGCACGUUCAUCACGCAUGGGAUGGAUGAUGGGAAGGGAGAGCAGCAACAGAAAAAAGUCUGUGCUUGGCUGGAAACUGUAAAUUUUUAUGUCUGGAAGGCAUCCUCACAUGCAGAUUAGAAAAGCGAUGAAAAAACCCACGGGUAUAUAUUUGAGCUUAUUCUGGACGCUGAUGUUGAUGUGUCGACAACGAUGACAAGUUCUUGACGACAGUUGAAGUGAGAGAGCCAGGUGUUCCUGCUGCUGUCACAGAAAGUGCUGCCAUACAGGGUUUCUCGUACUUGCCCCUCGCCCACCGAGUUCCAGUCCCAGUAGUCUCCACAGGCAAAAAGCAAACACUGAGUGUUCAAGGGUCAAGGUGCACUCUGUCUAUCCCACACCCUCUCAGUGAGGUCAGGAACGCGGAGGUGUGGCAUUCCAGUGUCUCUACUGUAGCACUCGAUCUGUAAUGAGGGCGCCACCCUAGGUUUUCAGUGGGUACUUUAUUAACCUGUCAUUGAGCAGCGAACACACUCGUUGUCAGGCUGUUGUGGUGUCGUAGAUUACCUGCACUGAGACAGUCUCGACAUGUUCCCAUUCAGCGACACUCCCGCACAACAGUUUGACACCCAAGCCAUGGACUAGUGGAACAAGAUCCUUGUAAUUAAUAUUAUAAUUGCUGCUGGAGGGAGCACUCAGUCGUCUGAGAGUCAUGAGAGGAUACAAACUCAGGUUGGAGAUCACACGACGAGCGCACCUGUCCAACACAGAUGCCAGCAAACUUCACACACCUGGAUACAUACUGAGACACUGAGUUCAGGUUUUCUGAAUGCCCACACAAAGAAACGAAUGAUCUGAUGUGAGGUUCCCACAUUCUAGAACAUACCAAAUAGAUUGACAAGUAAACCCCCAGAAAGAGGCCAGCACCAGAAUAACCAACAGUUAGCAAGAAAAUCAAGGUAUUGGAAAGAUUUGAUGGCGGAGUUACUGCGGCGAGGGUGAAGGGCCUCGGGUGCAUGACGAAACAGGAUGGGGAGCCCCGCCCCCAGAGCGUGACGUCGGAUUAUCGCAGCGACAGGCGUGACGUAUGCCUCGUGCGGGCUGAUAAUACAUCGCUGACGUCACGAUGGAUGACGUCACCACCGCGCGAGGCGUUUCACCAGCGACGACUCUCGACGCCAGCAUCAAGCGGCAAUCAUCAUCGCAUCCUGAGAGAACCCACGACACGAGCGCUGAGACAGUCGUCUGCACGAAGAUGAAGGUGGAGGAGAACCCUGACGACAGCAGCCACUUGUGCGCUUUUCUUCUCUCCAAGGACGUACAGAUUUUGGUCACGUGCUCGGAUACCGUCGCUCCCAUCGCGCAAAGGAAAGACAACCCGCAUGCUUUGUGCACCAACUUCAUUUCCAGCGGUUUUGGACCUUGGUGCCAGAACCUGGAGGUCAAGAUGUCAAGGCGGUGCACGAGUCUCGCGUUGCAGGCGACAAACGCCGUGGCUAAGGAAAAAACGUGCUUGGGGUCAGGGGUCACGUGGAGACGCGGGGCGGGGACCAACGCGAGGAACACUAAGACGAAGAGUGGCUUCAACCUCCAACAGCUUCCAUGUAAAGACAAGGGUUCAAAAGCUGAUGGCGUGUUUGACCGUCGACCGAGCUCCACCCCUUGUUCCUACGUGUUCCGACACCACGACGACAUCAGCGACUACAUCAGCGACUACCGGCUACAUCACACACUACAAAGGACUUCCACCAGGGACAGAUACACUUCUGUCUCUAGUUGUGUCCCUUCAAUCUCUCGCCUUCUUAAGGAGAAAAAGCUUUGCAGAUUCACCAGUUCAUGUAGCAGUGCGGGCACAGCAAGCACCUCAACCCGGAGUGACAGUAUAGAGAAAAAACGAGGUCUGUUCCUAACCUCGCCCCGGUGAGGGAGAAGACAACCGAGGCCUGACCAGAAGGGGAGGCCAAAGGCUAACAAGGCUGGUGGACCAUCGACUGACCAGCCAUCAAAAAGCAUGGUUCAGUGUUUGAACAACAACGGCCCUCCAAUGGAAGACGACAACGGACGCCAGCCGAGAGGAACAUCACUAACCAGUCAGCAGUCGUCAGGCACAAAGACUAAUGCCUGGCCACCAAGUGCACGUCCUGGCCUACCUCAGUCUUCCCUAGUCUCCAUAAACUUGUUACAACCAAGCCCCGUCGGACGGCGGUCGAGCCGGUCGUAAAGCCUGCAAGUUCAGGGGCAAGCAAUCCAAGCCGAGAAGUGAUGCCUGUGACAAGCUGAAGCAGGACUCUAAGAAGAGGUCACUGAAUGAAAACAUCCACCAUCCACAGAGAGAGGAGACAUCAGACGACGGUGAUGAGGAGGGGCGCAUGCAGAAUGGAAGCAAUACUAUCGCUCUGGCAACAACGGACAAAAAUAAUUCUCGAUGCACGGAGGGUCCUGGGAAGGGAGAGGCUGACCAUCCUUACUUAGGUCAUAGUUCUUUUCCCGAGGUCACCAAGCAUCAGCGAUUGAGCUUGAUGCAGAUACUUCAGGGCGAUGGUGCGAGGGUGGUCCAGAGUGUCACGAAGGGUAGACCGUGCAACAGGGGGGUCGCAUCAUGUCUGGAGCCCUGCACUGACUCGUUCUGUUCACGAAAGCUGGCCUCGGUUGCAGGUGACUGACCCCUCAAAAGUAAAGAACACACCCGAAAAUAUUGCCAGCCAGCUCCACGACUGGCUGCGUCUUGGUCAAUGCGUGAGUUUUCCUGAGCUACGAUUGUCCAAAGCCCCAGAUCACGGCGUCACUUCCGGUGAGGUUUCUGACAUGACCAGGAGACAUAAACGCAAUCGUGCAGGUGUGUGUGAGGAGGGACUGUGGGGAGGGAGGGACUGGGUGGCCCACACUCAAGCAGACGUGGCCAAUGAGGUGACCGUCAGCGAAGAAUCCCGAAACAAAGCAACAUCAGACGGCGACAGAGGGGCCCACGGUCCUUUGAGCGUCAGUACAAGCGACCACAAGCAUACAACACAGAAAGCAGGUGUCGACAGAGGCGGAAAAUGGAGGCAGAGGGACAGAAGCAACGCCAAGGGACGAACCUUCGACCAUCUGCGAGCCAUGGGCAGAGCGGCAUCGUCGCAGAACACACCGUUAAGCGUGGUUGCGCGAUCCCUCGGUGUAGGUCAGGCGCGCAACAGGGAGCAACGCACGACUGGCAGUGUCCACCUCGACUUCCGGGUGUCCAAAGAAGCUGUGCAGAAGACGGUGGCAGAGGUGACCACGUGACUAAAGCACGUGCGGCUUGCGGGUGCGGAAUCGAGCAGCUUGACUGGUGACUGCGCGUUGAGGCUGCUCUACCACAGCGGGCAGAACAAGAAUUUUCACUGCGUUUGAUUUUUUAAAAUGAUUCUGUAAUUGUUCAUUGGUCUACGCAUUUUUUAAAUAAUUUUUUCCUCCAAAGCGCGCGCGUGUGUGUGUGCUAGCUCGACGUAUAUGCAUAAGAUAUCGUUAGGGUCAGGGUCUUAAUGUAGGUUUUUAUUUUGAACAGACUGAGCAGAAAAACAAUCGAGCUCAAGGUUUGUUGAGCUGGCAACUGCGGUCUGUUAUUCACGCAUGCGUAGAACAGGUCAGUAACAGAAGUAAUAUUAAAAAAAAAGUCAGGGCUCUUAUCUCAGGUGGAUUUUCUCAGACGCGAAUAUUUUCGUUGCUGCUUCAUUUAUUUUCCACAGUCACGAAUCAACAAAAGUCAGUAUAUGAGCAAAUGAGUUUCAAGUAGUCACGUACGUUUACAAGCCGCAGGUUUUAUUUUUAAACUGAUGUAAAAAAACAAACAAAAAACAAAAAACUUGUCACUCAGUUCAUUAAACGCAGUUCAUUGACGGUA